rnacentral:lncRNA from 1 species
CAGGAACGCCUGGCUUGCGUCUGGGCGUGCAGCCUGCUCGAAGCAGGCUGGCGUGGAUUUUCGCUCCCGGCAAGGCGGGCUUCUGGAAAGCUGAGCUUGUAAUCUUGAAUGCCCUCUGCCAAGCAGGCCCCUGCUGAUAGCCUUUCUCUCCCAAUGCCUCCCCGACCUUUUUCAACCCUCGCGCCCAUACCCUUCCCUGCUUUCCAGCCCUUCCCUGGAAUCGGAGCCUCUGUCCACCCAUCUGGAUCCCGGUUGGUCCUUUCUUUCUAGCGCGGUCCCAGGGUUGAAGGACGCUCACCGCUCCCCUGUCUUUGCACAUGACUUCCCAAUCGGGCAGAUGAGGACUCUACAGUGUUUUCUACCCUCCCAGCUGACACUUUUCCUCCUCCUAGUACACAAGUUACAAGGAACCGACCUCUAUCCUGCUAAUGGGUGACUCUCAGGAGGCAUGGCCUCAGCUGGAAGAGCCACCCUGGGGAGAAAUUUCAGAGAUAGAUCUCAGUGAUGAGCUCAGCCUGACCGGACAAAGUCACCGCUUCUAC